rnacentral:misc_RNA from 1 species
GGAAGUAAAAGUCGUAACCAAGGUCUCCGUAGGUGAACCUGCGGAGGGAUCAUUACCGAGUGAGGGCCCCCGGCCCGACCUCCAACCCUUUGUUAUCAAAACCACUGUUGCCUCGGGGGCGACCCGGGCCCGUCGGUCUGGGGCCCCCGGCGGACAAUUUCAAAACACUGCACCUUCGCGUCGGGUUUAAAAGUUUAAUUGAUUAAAACUUUCAACAACGGAUCUCUUGGUUCUG